UACGGGGGGAGCAAGCGUUGUUCGGAUUUACUGGGCGUAAAGGGCGCGUAGGCGGUCGUGACAAGUCACUUGUGAAAUCUCCGGGCUUAACUCGGAACGGUCAAGUGAUACUGUCGGACUAGAGUACAGAAGAGGCAACUGGAAUUCUCGGUGUAGCGGUGAAAUGCGUAGAUAUCGAGAGGAACACCGGUGGCGAAGGCGGGUCUCUGGGCCGAUACUGACGCUGAGGAGCGAAAGCGUGGGGAGCGAACAGG
rnacentral:rRNA from 1 species